rnacentral:rRNA from 1 species
GGCCACAGAAAUAUCACCUUGCAGCCCAAAGCUGGUUACUCACUGAAGCUAAGCAGGUUGACCUGGUCGGUACCUGGAUGGGAGACCACAUGGGAAAGCUAGGUUGCUGAAGUUG